GCAACUGCGUGAGUCGUACGACGAUCUGCGAAUUACCGAAUCAUCGAACGAUCGAUAUACAGAUCGUGUGGCUCGUUAUUGUAGUGCAUUCAAAAUCAAAUAUGUUCGGCAAGUGUUUAGACAUUCAGAACUUGGAAGUUUGUGUAGAACUAAUAACAUAAACAUGAUUUAAUUGAGAAUGUGUUUACUGAUCUUCAACAAAUGGGGAUUGCGAAGGCGGCAGGCGACAGGCAACAGGAGGUAGGCGGCAGGCGGCAACGGCCACAAAAAGUUGCAAGUCGCAAGUCGAAGCUCAGGUACCUCCGCAGUGGCAGUUCAAGAUGUUGCCGACGCGCGCACAAUGUGCGGCUUUAAGAAAUGCCGAAUUCCAGAAGCUGCAGUACAAUCAGUUGAAUUAAAAAACGAGCCCACAUCGGGAGAGCGAGAGAGAUACAGAGGCGGAGUGAAAGAGAUCGAGCGAGGACAACAGCGACGGCGACGAUAUCAUCGCGCAGCUGCGACGACCUAGGAAAUUAAGAGGACAUUGUGGCGGCAUGUGGUUAGAACUUAGCUCGCGCGGCGGCUUAAACAACGAAAUCCAAUGGCUGGCUAGCCACAACUACAGCCACAGACAAGACCGAGUCCAGUUCAUGCCACGCAAGAUUCUUUGCGUUGCUUCGCUGUGCUGCGCGUUGUUGGUGGCGACUUGCGAUGCCUGACAGAGGUCGCCCUCGUACGUAAUCGUCGGCGAGCACAUUCGCAAAUGCUUUUGUGCCGUCUGUUUGCCUGUCUGAGCUGCCUUGCUUUGCCUUGUGCUGCGCACGUGGCCAACUUGGUGACGCUUGGCCCCAAAAACAACUACAGCAGCAACA